rnacentral:lncRNA from 1 species
UCUUAAAGCGAGCAAUAUACUCGGGGACAUGCGCCCAGGAGGAGGGUGUGUGUGUGUGUGGAGAUCCUGAUAAUCUAAUUUGGUUUCUAGAGAAUGGCUUUGAAUGAUAAACCCAAGAACAUCUGUGCAUUGGAAAACCGAGGAGGGACUGUUUGUCCAUGUCGCUUCAAACUUAGGCCCUGGGAUAGUUUCCUCUGUCAGUGAGCCUAUGGCAAAGGCAGCGAUGGAGACAGUACUACCUUGUGUCACUUUAAUGUGAAUUCGUGGACAGGGAUACUCAACCAGGAUUCCAGCUCCCAGAUGGACAUCCCAGAUCCACUGCUCUCCAUCUCUGAGCUCUAACUGCAUGCCCAAGCACUUGGCCCAAGUAAUAUCAUCUCUGCCUGUCGUGUAACUGUAAAUUAUACUGUGUUUAUGUGCCUAUGUGGUCUGUUAUUUAUGACAUUCAUCUGACACAGCUCUGAAGGCUGCCGGCCUGAAAACUUAUAGGAAAUAUUUCAAAAGCUGUUUGAUCAAACGUUGAAAACAGUUGAGAUUAGGACGGAAGCUAGAGUAGAUUUUAGGGUACCAUUUGAUGAUAAAGGGAGAUACAUCCACAAUGUUACAAGAGAAGUUGGACUCUUUGAACUGGCUACUGACUCAGAAAGUAAAAAGCACUUCAUAUAUAACACUUUCAUUUUCUUCCAGAUUCUACAGAGCUGUAGAAUUUUUAUAGUCUUUAUUCCCAGCAUGCUGUUUCAUAAGGACAGUCCAAGUAAUGAUUCUGAGUAUUGUUUGCUCCAUGCCAUUGGGAAGCAUGGCAUGCUUACUUGAAAACUCCUAUGGCAUUAUGAUCACUGUUAAUGCUGAUUCAUAAUUGGCAAAUGGGGUCAAUUUCAGGCCUCCGUUUUGCUUGGAGAAAAAUUUUCCACUGCUACUGGAAACAAAUAAAUAAAUCAUAGAACAUUCUACCCUCCUCCCCCAGUCCCCCAUUGUUUUAAACUAAUGGCACACUUGGCUUCUGUAAGGAUUGAAGUGUCCCUGUAACUCUGCAAUUUCAUCUUGGUUUCAGGCAUCCUGAAACACUUUUUAUGAGGGCUUUUGGUAUGAGGCAUCUCUAGGGGAAAACCUACAGAAAUGGUUGCCUUCCAAGAACAGCCUCAUAGUACCGGGAGCUGGGAUUUGGUCUGUGAGCCACGUUUCUUCUCCCUCUAUGUGAUCUUCCCCUCCCAUUGCCUUCCACAGACCGGGCAGCCAGGUGCUGUCUCAACCAGAAAGACAAAGCAAACUGCAGGGUCUGUGUAUCCGCAGGUUUGCCACUGUCCCAAUUUGCAGAAAACCUUAUCAUUAAUUAGAAUUUCUUGGCAGCAGCACCACCCUGAGAAAUUUGUAGACACAAAGGAGCCUUGGUAACCACAUUGAAAGAAUAAAAUAGCUGGCUAUUUAUUUAUUUAUUUUUGUAUGUGAUUUGUGUGUUCGUCAAUUACUGUAAAUCUUUUUUUUUUUUUUGAAACAGAAUCAAAACUGCCCUGAUUCUCCAGCUUUUCUUUAUAAAGAUGCAGCCACUACAGAAACGUGGCUUUAAAAAUGAGAGCACGUGUGAGUGCCAUCAGUCACACACUUAGCCUUUUUGUAAUAGAUUCAUUUUUAUGUUCUUUUCAUACACACAUCUUCAUGUGGGCACUUAAUCCUUCAGUCUACCUGUCUGCCAUUUGGUGUUUUAAAGUAAGAAAGGAUGUCAGUGCAGAUGUUGCUUCUACACCUGUCCUUAGUAAGGGAGAGGAACUCACCCUUCUUUGUUCUCCAUGUAUCACACACCCCUACUCACCACCCUGAGGAGAGAGGGAUGAUGGGGGGGGGGUCCUAUCCAUUUAAAAGGCGAAGUAGAAGAUACAGGCUGACAGCUUUGCCCUGAGAUGAUUUAUGGAUGGGCAUGUUGGAGACCUUAAGUGUUCAAAUGUGGGCUCUUCUCUCCCAGCCCCCUUCUAAAUAGAAAUGCCUGUUGAAGCUAAUUUGCUUCUCCACUUAAAUGGAGAUAGUUUAAAGAGGGUCAGAAUGGAGCUUUUAAUAGCCAUUCUCUUACCAAUCUGAAAAGUCCCCCUUCACAGAAUCCCUCUUGUUUAGUACAAAGCAUACUUUGGCCAGUCCCAGCCAGCUCAUGUUGGUGGGAUACCUGCUCUGCUAUUUGGCCAGCUAGUUGGUAGAUGUUCCCACCUCUGGUUAACAUAGAAUGUCUGGAGGUUUUAAUCACUGUCACUGGAUCCAUCGUUGAUGAUUGCAUACAGUGUCUCCCUGAUGCUGGCUCACUCGCUGUAGCUCCAACUCACUUGCUGUUGGAGUUACAGCUGCAGCUACAGUUACAGCGGUAGCUCUGACUCCAACAGCAUGCAUGUUUAGGAUUUGCUGAAAGUUUAGGACAGCUCCCUAAUUUAAUGGGAGCCAUGCCUGGACGGUGAGGGCAGAGACUUUGUGUCCCUUUGUUCUCCCAAGUCAGCUUAGUGCUUGCUUAGCAUAAACAGGUAAAAAUGUGUUCACCUCAAUUGCCAGUCCACUCUGCCAAAAAAGGACCCAGAAAACUCUAGAGCUCCUCCUGAUACCUAAUCGGAAUGUAUAUAACACUGACAAGCUAGAAAACACUACUUUCUCCCCUCUUAGAACAUCCUCAUGAGAAAAUAUUCUUAUUAAAUCUCAUGUAGGAGUCCCCCACAUAAAGUAUUGUCACUUUUUAGAAGUGUGUGUGCCUGAGUGGUCCUGAUCUUCCUCUCUUGAUGUUCCUGCCUCUUACCUUGCAACAUCACUUCUACUGCCUCGGGUAGUAUGCUACCCAAGAUGCUGGCUUGUCAUUUGAUGUGAGCCUAAGAACUUGGUCUGGUGGUCUGCAGUCUGUCUGUCCUACUCUCUGUUAUAGGAGCUCUGUCUGCCACAUGCUAUAGGUGUGUGCAGAGUCAGCAGCUGCCUUGGGAAAUGAGUCCCAGUGUUCACCUCCUUGAGAUGAGAAUGGGGGAAAAACCAUUCCUGAUUGAGCUGCCAGUAGACCCAGUGUGGCAGUGUGAGACUUUGCUCUCAAUAAAGUAUUCUGUAUAAAACUAUAUUAAGUCUAUUCCGUGUUAAAUGUUUAAUUUCCUAAGCCCUUAUUUAUGCAGACUGUUCUGUUUGGGUGAUGCAAAGUUAAAAAGGAUGUAGAUUCUGCCCCACUUCAUUCUAGAAGAGGGCACAUUUAAAAUUAAUUGAUAUAGAAUAAGAGAACACUGAAAAAAUGAACUCUUCAGUACUGUUUUUGAAUACUAGUCUGCCUUGUCUUAUUUUUUGUUUUGUUUUUUUUUGUUUAAAAAACAAACAAAACCCAUGGGGCUUGUUUAUAUAAACCAGGCAUGAGAUUUGCUUAGCUCUGUUGUGGGCAUGCUUUUAGCUCUGGGCAUAGUGGGGGCUGGUAAGCAACAGUGUGACUUCACAUGUCCAUAAUGUCCAGGAAAUGGCGUUUGUGUCUGUGUCAUUCGGAAAUGACUUGACGUAAUUAAAACAAUUAAUGUUGAGCCACAUGCAAUAUCUAUUUCUGAAUAUGGAUUCAUUAACAUUUCCUGAGGGUCAUCUUGAAAGUCUGGCCUCUAGCUUGAAACAGAGCUCAGAACCUGGAAUUUUAUCAUUUCAAAUCCUGAAAGGGGUUUUGGUUUAUUUAGCUCUGAAGUACUAGAGUUGAAUCACUGUGGAUGUCACAGCCAAAGGAGGUGUUACAUUCUUCAGGUUCAUGUUAGCACUGUUGAUUCUGAGACCCAGGGCUCAGACACUGGAGUAAGUUUCAAACCAAUGCUUAUUUCUCAUCCUACCAUUUAAAGAGACAUGAGAAAAUAUUCCUGUUACUUCUGUGUACCAGUAUCAGACAAACAAACAAAGUAACUAACUAACUAACAAACACAUUGGCAUUGCCUGGGCCCUAGAUCAAAGCAUAGAGUAGUUUAAUGUCAUCCUUCUCCAACUCUCAAUACUCUGUAGUAAUUUUGAAACAGUAAAAAUAUGUUCUUUUUAUGUGUGGGGGAAGGCAAGAGCCCCCAAAGUAAUAAUGCUACUC